rnacentral:lncRNA from 1 species
CCAGAACUCCCACCCUCCAAAAAAUAAUACGAAUAAUUCAGGACAAGGCAAUGAGACAUUAACAGACAUUCAGACAUGACUUCUAAUAAUUCCAACUUUUUAAGUUUCACAAGUUUGAGGGUUUUAUAAAAUUGUAACAGUUCAAUUAAAAAAAUAAACAAAAUAAGGUAUUUUCCCACCCAUUUACAUUAGUGGAUAUAAUAUUUGGAGAAUAGCAAUGUUAAUAAAUAGUUAUGAUCAGAAUUACAAGGAUAAGCAUAAUGCCAUUUAACAUCAUCGAAAGGUAAACAUAGGAAAUUUAGGAGAUUUUAUACAAUGCUGAAUUUCAAUCCAUAGUUUACUAGAAUGGCGACAUUAAAAAUAAAUAAAUGCUCUAUAGAUUCUGAAUGAGCAAAAACACAAGCAGUUGUGUCAAAAUUGAACCUUUUGUGCAAGAAAUCAUUAACAGGGUAAAUGGAAGAAAAUAUAAAAAAAAUGUUUCUUUAACUUUUGGGAUAACUGGACAAUUAAAAUAAAAGGUAGUCGCUUUUGACCAUAGUAUGGGUUGAUCACUUCCAUAGCAAAAUAUGACUUAAUUAACUGUCAAUCCUACCCACUUAUUGUUGAAAUUUUUAUACAAAAGUAAUGAAUUGGUAAACUUGGAAAAGUGGGAACAACCUCAUAAUAUAACAAAGUGUUCUUAAAUAAGUCCAAGUAAAGGAAGUGGAAUUGCUUUGCAAACCUUCAUAUAGAAUAUAUGAAUAUUCAAUAUAUGGUCAAUAUUAACUUGAAAUUUACCAAUGAACUCAUCAAACGACAGAAACUCUCCAGUGUUGUCUAACAAAUUUCAUUAGGAAUUCAAGUCCACCAAGUUUAUUAAACAGAUUAUUAGGGAUAUGAUGCCACAUAGAGGUAGGAUUAGACAGACAUAAUGUCAACCAUUAAAUGUUAAAAUACCUACUAACGACUCAAAAUCAAUAGCCUGUAAACCUCUAUGAUUAUAGUCUUUCACUAAUUGAGAUUUUCGAAUAGUAUGCGUUUUAUUCCUCAAAAUAAAUAACAGAAUUGCCUUUUUUGAUGUUAUUAGAAGAAAAAAGGGACUGCCUUGGAUAAAUGAUUCCAGAUAAACCAUCAGUCUUGGAUUAAAGAAUACGACUCCAAAUUGACAUGUCACGUUAAUAAUAAUGCAGAGUGACACAGACAUCGUAGACAAUGUGUGAUCCCAACGCGGGCAAUAACCAUCAUCCACAUGAACACCAUAUAAGUCUGCACAUUAAUCAUAGCUUCAGCUCUUUGUGUCUCAGUCCUCAUCCCAGCACAACUGGUGUUGUGUCCAACAUAUACUUCUUCAUCUGAAACAAUAUAUGAACUACCCAUCACUGCGACCUGUACGCUCUCGUUGGCUGGCACUCACUACAUAUCCGUCGCCAAACCCACUGGCUCCAGGUCAUCUAUAAGUCUUUGCUAGGUAAAGCCCCGCCUUAUCUCAGCUCACUGGUCACCAUAGCAAUACCCACCUGUAGCACACGCUCCAGCAGGUAUAUUGCACUGGUCAUCCCCAAAGCCAACACUUCCUUUGGCCGCCUUUCUUUCCAGUUCUCUGCUGCCAAUGACUGAAACGAAUUUCAAAAAUAUGAUAUAUUAUAUCUCCCUCUCUAACUUUAAGCAUCAGCUGUCUGAGCAGCUUACCGAUCACUGUACCUGUACACAGCCAAUCUGUAAAUGGCACACCCAACUACCUCAUCCUGAUAUUAUUACUUAUCCUCUUGCUCUUUUGCACCCCAGUAUCUCCACUUGCACAUCAUCAUCUGCACAUCUAUCACUCCAGUAUUAAUGCUAAAUUGUAAUUAUUUUCACCUCUAGGGCCUAUUUAUUGCCUACCUCCAUACUCUUCUACAUUUGCACACACUGUACAUAGCUUUUCUAUUUUUAUUUUAUUUUGUGUUAUUGGCUGUACAUUUGUUUAUGUGUAAAUCUGUGUUGUUGUGUGUGUCGCACUGCUUUGCUUUAUCUUGACCAGGUCACAGUUGUAAAUGAGAACUUGUUCUCAACUGGCCUACCUGGUUAAAUAAGGGUGAAAAUAAAAUAAAUAAAUAAAAUGACCAAGUAUGUCUCUGUCUACAUCCAAUUCAAACACUCCCUGCAAGAUCUCCCACUACAGCAGGUAUGAUGGUGUGUGUGUGUGUGUGUGUGUGUCUGACCCGUCUCAGCCUCCUCCUGGUCUGCAACUCCUGCUGUUGCUUAAGCCUCACCUCCUCCAGACUCAGACACAUACUAAACACACACACACACACACACACACACACACUAUUUUAUGAAAUCCACCUCAGUCUCAUGUAAGCUAUAACAAUUAGUUGUACCAUGGUGCACCCUUGUGGCUAUAAACAGAAGUACAACAGAUAGAUCUACUGACAGACACAGUGCUGUCUCCAGACAGUGCUCCACCGAGGAAGAGCAUGAUGGUUGCGAUUAAGCAUGUUGCGGUGAAGCAUACUACUCCCACAGACCUGGGUUCAAAUACUAUUUCAAUUACUUUCACAUACAUUAAUUAAGUAAGUAUUUAGAUAUAUAUUUUUGGUAAAUAGAGUAGUUGAAUAUUGGAAUGUAUUUGGAAAUACACUUGGAAAGUAUUGGCAUGUCAAAUACACAGAGUAUUUUCAAAUACAAAUACUCCCAUCCAUUUGAACCCAUGUCCUAGGAGUACUUGAAGGUAAGGUAUUUGGAAAUAAGUAUUUGAAAAUAUUAGGAACCAGGCUAUGAGGGGUGGCCAGUCCUCUUCUGGCUGUGCCGGGUGGAGAUUAUAACAGCACAUGGCCAAGAUGUUCAAAUGUUCAUAAAUGACCAGCAUGGUCAAAUAAUAAUAAUCAUAGUAGUUGUCGAGGGUGCAACAAGUCAGUAACACAAGAGCAAGUGCCAGUUGGCUUUUUCAUAGCCGAUCUUUGAGAGUAUCUCUACCGCUCCUGCUGUCUCUAGAGAGUUGAAAACAGCAGGUCUGGGACAGGUAGCACGUCCGGUGAACAGGUCAGGGUUCCAUAGCUGCAGGCAGAACAGUUGGAACUGGAGCAGCAGCACGGCCAGGUGAACUGGGGACAGCAAGGAGUCAUCAAGCCAGGUAGUCCUGAGGCAUGGUCCUAGGGCUCAGGUCCUCCGAGAGAGAAAGAAAGAGAGAAAGAGAGAAUUAGAGAGAGCAUAUUUAAAUUCACACAGGACACCGGAAAAGACAAGAGAAAUACUCCAGAUGUGACAGACUGACCCUAGCCCCCCGACACAAACUACUGCAGCAUAAAUACUGGAGGCUGAGACAGGAGGGGUCAGGAGACACUGUGGCCCCAUCCGAUGAAACCCCCGGACAGGGCCAAACAGGUAGGAUAUAACCCCACCCACUUUUCUAAGGCACAGCCCCCACACCACUGGAGGGAUAUCUCCAACCAUCAACAUACCAUCCUGAGACAAGGCUGAGUAUAGCCCACAAAGAUCUCCGCCACGGCACAACCCAAGGGGGGGCGCCAACCCAGACAGGAAGACCACGUCAGUGACUCAACCCACUCAAGUGACGCACCCCUCCCAGGGACGGCAUGGAAGAACACCAGUAAGCCAGUGACUCAGCCCCUGUAAUAGGGGUAGAGGCAGAGAAUCCCAGUGGAAAGAGGGGAAACCGGCCAGGCAGAGACAGCAAGGGCGGUUCGUUGCUACAGCCUUUCCGUUCACGUUAACACCCCUGGGCCAGACUACACUUAAUCAUAGGACCUACUGAAGAGAUGUGUCUUCAGUAAAGACUUAAAGGUUGAGACUGAGUCUGCGUCUCUCACAUGGGUAGGCAGACUAUUCCAUAAAAAUGGAGCUCUAUAGGAGAAAUCCCUGCCUCCCGCUGAUUGCUUUGAAAUUCUAUGAACAAUUAGGAGGGCCGUGUCUUGUGACCGUAGCGUACGUGUAGGUAUGUACUGUCACGUUCCUCUUCGUCUUAAGAUAAUGGAGAAAUCGCUGUUGGAAAAAGUGGACCAAUACGCAGCGGGUUGCGUGCUCAUCAUAUUUUAUUUUAAUGUGAACACUAAGAAAAAAACAAGAAACAAUAGACCGACAGGAACAGUUUAGCAGGCUAACAUAAAGCAGUGCUAAAACAACAACCCACAAACCCCAGGUGAAAAACACACUCCUAAUAUAUGACUCCCAAUCAGGAACAACGAUAACCAGCUGUUCCUGAUCGGGAGCCACACAGACCAACAAAGAAACAGACAUACUAGAAAACACAUACACAGACUUCUUCUGCCACAUCCUGACCAAAAUACUACACAACUACUCCCUCUGCUGGUCAGGACGUGACAGUACCCCCCCCCCCCCAAAGGUGCAGACCCCGGAAUGCACCUUAAAAGAAAACACAAAAAUCCCCAAUACCACAACAAAAAUUAAUACCCCCUAAACAAAAAGGGAGGGAAGGGAGGGUGGCUCAACGACGGCACUAGUGCUACACCCCCCCUCCCUAACCCACCUAUCCUGGACGUGGCUCUGGUUCCGGCCUACUGCCCUCCAGACUGUAGGCAGACUCAUUGGGUUCCGGGUCGUAGACAGACUCACUCUGUUGUGGAUUGUAGGCAGACUUUCCGGUCAACGCUGUAGGCAGACUCAUUUAGUUCACAGUUAGAUAUACACUUAUUCAUUUACGGAUUGUCGACAGACUCACUUGGUUCCGGAUUGCUGACAGACUCACUUGGUUCCGGAUUGCUGACAGACUCACUUGGUUCCGGAUUGCUGACAGACUCACUUGGUUCCGGACAGUGGGCCGUCUCCCCCGGUUCCGGACGAGGCACUGUUGCCGGACACUCUUGACGAGGCACUGUUGCCGGACACUCUUGACGAGGCACUGUUGCCGGACACUCUUGACGAGGCACUGUUGCCG